rnacentral:rRNA from 1 species
CCUACGGGAGUCAGCAGUGGGGAAUAUUGGACAAUGGGCGCAAGCCUGAUCCAGCAAUGCCGCGUGAGUGAUGAAGGCCUUAGGGUUGUAAAGCUCUUUUACCAGGGAUGAUAAUGACAGUACCUGGAGAAUAAGCUCCGGCUAACUCCGUGCCAGCAGCCGCGGUAAUACGGAGGGAGCUAGCGUUGUUCGGAAUUACUGGGCGUAAAGCGUACGUAGGCGGUUAUUCAAGUCAGAGGUGAAAGCCCGGGGCUCAACCCCGGAACUGCCUUUGAAACUAGGUAGCUAGAAUCUUGGAGAGGUCAGUGGAAUUCCGAGUGUAGAGGUGAAAUUCGUAGAUAUUCGGAAGAACACCAGUGGCGAAGGCGACUGACUGGACAAGUAUUGACGCUGAGGUACGAAAGCGUGGGGAGCAAACAGGAUUAGAUACCCUGGUAGUCCACGCCGUAAACGAUGAUAACUAGCUGUCCGGUCACUUGGUGACUGGGUGGCGCAGCUACGACAUAAGUUAUACCGUCCGUCGGGUAGGUACGGUCGCGAGAAUAAACUACAAGAAGUAGACGGCGNGAGACGNGCGACGACGACGACGAGGGAGGUAGG